CCUACGGGCGGCUGCAGUAGGGAAUCUUCCACAAUGGGCGAAAGCCUGAUGGAGCAACGCCGCGUGGGUGAAGAAGGUCUUCGGAUCGUAAAACCCUGUUGUUAGAGAAGAAAGUGCGUGAGAGUAACUGUUCAUGUUUCGACGGCAUAUAACCAGAAAGCCACGGCUAACUACGUGACAGCAGCCGCGGUAAUAGGUAGGUGGCAAGCGUUAGCCGGAUUUAUUGGGCGUAAAGGGAACGCAGGCGGUCUUGUAAGUGUGAUGGUAAAGCCUGCGGCUUAACCGUAGUAGUGCCUUGGAAACUGGGAGACUGGAGUGCAGGAGAGGAAAGUGGAACUCCAUGUGUAGCGGUGAAAUGCGUAGAUAUAUGGAAGAACACCAGUGGCGAAGGCGGCUCGCUGGACUGUAACUGACGCUGAGGUUCGAAAGCGUGGGUAGCAAACAGGAUUAGAUACCCUAGUAGUC
rnacentral:rRNA from 1 species